rnacentral:rRNA from 1 species
GACGAACGCUGGCGGCGUGCCUAAUACAUGCAAGUAGAACGCACAGUUUAAACCGUAGCUUGCUACACCAUAGACUGUGAGUUGCGAACGGGUGAGUAACGCGUAGGUAACCUGCCUGGUAGCGGGGGAUAACUAUUGGAAACGAUAGCUAAUACCGCAUAAUAUUAAUUAUUGCAUGAUAAUUAAUUGAAAGGUGCAAUUGCACCACUACCAGAUGGACCUGCGUUGUAUUAGCUAGUAGGUGAGGUAACGGCUCACCUAGGCGACGAUACAUAGCCGACCUGAGAGGGUGAUCGGCCACACUGGGACUGAGACACGGCCCAGACUCCUACGGGAGGCAGCAGUAGGGAAUCUUCGGCAAUGGACGAAAGUCUGACCGAGCAACGCCGCGUGAGUGAAGAAGGUUUUCGGAUCGUAAAGCUCUGUUGUAAGAGAAGAACGGGUGUGAGAGUGGAAAGUUCACACUGUGACGGUAUCUUACCAGAAAGGGACGGCUAACUACGUG